GAUGAACGCUGGCGGCGUCCCUAAUACAUGCAAGUCGAGCGAACAGACGAGGAGCUUGCUCCUUCGACGUUAGCGGCGGACGGGUGAGUAACACGUAGGUAACCUACCUAUAAGACUGGGAUAACUUCGGGAAACCGGAGCUAAUACCGGAUAAUAUUUCGAACCGCAUGGUUCGAUAGUGAAAGAUGGCUUUGCUAUCACUUAUAGAUGGACCUGCGCCGUAUUAGCUAGUUGGUAAGGUAACGGCUUACCAAGGCAACGAUACGUAGCCGACCUGAGAGGGUGAUCGGCCACACUGGAACUGAGACACGGUCCAGACUCCUACGGGAGGCAGCAGUAGGGAAUCUUCCGCAAUGGGCGAAAGCCUGACGGAGCAACGCCGCGUGAGUGAUGAAGGUCUUCGGAUCGUAAAACUCUGUUAUUAGGGAAGAACAAACGUGUAAGUAACUGUGCACGUCUUGACGGUACCUAAUCAGAAAGCCACGGCUAACUACGUG
rnacentral:rRNA from 1 species